CUAUCAAAGUAAGAUUGUUUCCCCAUCUAGAGACAUUAUGACAUAGCUAAAAAAAAACUACCAUUGACUUUUUGGACAAAGAAAAACGUACAAGCAACCUCAAAACCAUUUUGUUUACUUCACAACUAUCAUGAAUGCCUUGAAUUUUAAAAUUAGAAAUGCCAUGCCUUGAAUCUUGUCAAGUGACGAUUCUCACUGUUUCGUUCACCUACUGCUGUUGAUUCCCAAAGAAAAUAAAGAGACCACAAGGUGGUAAAUAUGAUGACAAUCUAUGUAGCAAAACAGAAAAAAAGGUUCUGAUGCCUUUAAAUUAUCAAAACAUCUGCAUCUUAUACACACACAACCUUACCUACAAAAAAAAAUCAAAACCCUUGCAUCUACUCUCUUUCUCUCUCGAUCUAUAUACCACCAACACCUUUUAUCUCCUUCACUCCCUAUCUCGGUUAUAAUAAGCAAACACAAAGAAGCCACCUUCUCAAAAAUGAACUCUAGCUGCUCACAUGGCCAGCAAUCAGGCCCCUGACUAGCGCCGGUUAACCGGCGAGACACCCCCUCACGCCCUUGUUCCUCAUCGAUCUAACAGCCAGCGACAAGAAUCAGAGAAAAUCAGAACAGAUGAGAGAGAUGGCUGGAGCGAGAGAGAGAGAAACAGCGGUGGUGCUUUAUUUUUCGACAAGGUUAUACGUGUCGGAUCCGUUUCGGGUUACUCACAGUCAAAAUGUUCGGGUCGGAUGUGGGCUCGGGAGUCACGGGUCCGCUUGGGGUGUUUUUGAGUCUUGGUUCGGCUUGAGAUUUGGUUCGAGUCACGUUUUGAAUCGGGUCAAGAUUUGGUGCAGUCAACUUCGGUCAUGGUCCAACAUCUCGGGUCAGACUCAAGUCUCGGUUCUGGUUAACUUGGCCAGAAGAUGGGUUCUCGUUCAAGAUGUUGAUUAGGUUCGAGCUUUGAUUUGAUUCAAGUGCUACUAGAAGUCAACCAAGUUUUAGUUUUUGGGAAGAUUUUGUUUUCAGCUGCGUUUCGGGUCAAAUCCGGUUGACUCGGUCAACACCCGAGUCAACUCAGGUCAACGACAGUCAACUCAAAGACUGGAAUGCUUUAGUUGCACGCUAGCGAGUUCACAUUCUUUGAAUGACAUCACGGAAUCACGUUAAGCUAGCUUUGCACUUGAAUGUCAAGGUGAGUUCAUAACCCCCACUUUUUACUGUUUUUACAUUUUUAUAAAUGUUUUCGGGGGUGGAAAGACAUGCAAGUUUUUGCAAAAGUGAAUAACUUUUUGAUGAACGAAAACUCAUAUUUCUCAACUAUGUUGCAAAUGAAUUUCAACGAACUUGAAAAGUUUACGAACGAAUUAUACUAAACAUACAUGUUUUACAAAACGUGCAUGAUUUUCAUGACUAGUGACGAGAAUGUCCUAGUUACUACAACGGAACUGGGUUGGCCUGCGUACGAAAAACGAGACAACUCAGUGAGAUCAUGUCCCCCUUUUCUUUCAACGUUUCGGUUUACAACUUUCGGGGGAAUACAUGUUAAACUUAGGUAUGAUUAAGUUAUGGAAUGAACUCUUAGAUCAUGUGAGCAUAGGCUGUAACUGAGGUGCCAUUAAUCCUUUUGAGGACCAAGGAACAAAGGUUAGAUCUAAUGGGUACGGGCGAGCCCCACUCACGGUCCAUGGGUGACCACUUAGAGUGCUGUUGUGUCCAGCAUCGAGAGUUCGACACUUAAAUUGCCUACGCGGGUUGAGUACCUCCUAUGUCGUCGCAUAUAUUAAUUUCCUCGCGAAACAUUAAUGAUCAACAUGUUCAUAGACGCUUUACAUACCAACUUACAACACUAUAACUUUCAAAUGUUUUAAUAUUCAUUUGACGCAAACUCAUAAUACAUGUAUUUACAAACUUUGAUGAUGUUUUCAACUUAUGUACAAGUAAGAGGACGAAUUGGUCCUGCUUACAAAGACUCUCGUGGGCUAGACUCACAACUUUCAUAUAUCAUGCCGAGAAAAUGAUUUUACUAUGCUUUCUCAACAACUUUUAAACCGGUUAUCAAAAAGAUUUGUUUUAAAUCUUUUCAAAACAAACUAUGAACUCGCUCAACUUUAUGUUGACUUUUUCGCAUGUUCUUUCUCAGGUUACUUUUCAAAGAUAUGGCAUGGUUGGAAUAGGAGAACCCAUGGGAAUUCGAGUACUUAGCGGUGUUCAUUUUUCUAGAAGUCUUAGCUUAUUUGCUUCCGCUGUGCAAUGAAGAUACCGGUCCAGUCACGCCAUGCUCUGAUAUUUCGGGGUGUGACAGAUUGGUAUCAGAGCUAUAGGUUUCAGCGAAUUAGGUUUCUGUAGAGAUACCUAGGCUUUAACCUCACUCUCCUCUGGGGACUUAGAUAUCAAGAAUUGAACACAUACAGAACGCCUAACACUCGAAUAUGGGUUCCAACCGUUGCCGAAAACAAUGGGUCAACAAUUUUGGUUUUAAAAUAUACAAAUGUUGUGUCGAUACACUGUACACGAAACAAUUACACACAUAAAGCAAGACUUUGUGAGUUUUGGUAACACACAUAUAGGACCUUUGGAAAACUCUUGAUGAGAACUUAUAUUGAAAUUCAUUAAAGGUCCUCCCAUAAGAGUCGUGGUUAUUAACUCGCGCAAACGCUAUUAUAUUAUGUCUUCUAUGCUAUCUUAUUUACCCGAGCAUGUAACCUACGCGAAACGAAACGCUAUUGCGCAACUAUACGUGAAACUUAAACUAUACGUCAGCGGACGUCAAAGUAUAUCACACACGACUUUCGAGGCAAGGCCUUUGGAAAACAUGAUUGGGCAUGACAACAACGAUGCUAAUCCCGUCAGCGGGAGAACUACGGAUCGAAAUGCGGCAAAUUGCCAAGUGACCCUGCAAUUGACACGAAUCACGCUGAGGUACGUUUAACUGGGAUUUCACAACAAUCUAUACUUACUCUAAGGAGACUCACAAUUGUUGGCGCUGCAAAGGAAGUUACAUGUCUUCGCAUUCCCCCUACCUCAUUUAUUGUUAUUAGGCUAUGUUCGACAUUCCAUGGUAAUCUCAUCUAACAACUAGUCAUCACACGAACUUCCAGGUAAAGUCCUUAAAUUUCUUUUGUUGAAAUUUCGACUUCUUGCAUAUAGUGAGUAGAUUUUUGCAUUUCUACUCCGCCUAAUGGUCAUUGCAUCACCAAGAUUUAAUUUCAUGAUAGCGAACACUCAUUGCUUAUUUCUUGACAAAUUCGUACGCUACACAUGCAUUGUUUGCUACGCAUGUGGUUUCACUUCGAAUGGUUGUUUUGUCAACAUCUCAUAUAUUAUUUCGCUAUACUAAAUCUUUGCAUUGUAUUCUAGAUGAACCGCAUUAUUGCAAGGCAUUGACUCCUUGGUAUCGAGUCAAUGAAUUUCUUGGAAAACUCAUUUUCUUUUGAGUGGUAUACAUGGUUUUUCGUUGUGGCCAUGUCGAAGCUUUCUUAUUAAUACAUGAAUUCAUUGUUGGAUUCUGUUUCUACCAAGUUCAAUUGAUUGAACUUGCUCGUAAUAUAUAUUCGAUUCAAGGUCCCAUAUGAUGGUUUGAGGCCAUCAUAUUCGAAAUAAUCCCAACAAGCACUUCAUUUGUUUCGAACGAUAAUAGGCUUGUUUGGUCUUCGACUUUGUUGAAUCGUUUCUUUGAUCACGAUCACCUUGGGGUGGCGUUUUUCACAAGUUUGAAGCUUGCGCUAAUCUCGUUACUCACAUCAUGUAUGGAUUUAAUUAUUUAUUUAUUUGUUUGUUGAUAUUAAAUCCGCUUUGUUGGUUUAUCAUAUUAAUGCAAUCUUACACAAUCGUGUGUUAAGAUAAUGGUACACAAAAUUCAUGUCAUAUUCCAGUGUACCUCUUCUCGGUUCUUUCAGCAUCGAUCGAACAUUUUGAGAUAUUCAUUGCUUUUCAUCUUCGCUCGAAAACAUCAUUUAUUUAUUUCAUUUCCAAUCGAAAAUCCUAUGAGAUUUGUUUGGAACCAACAUUCAGAUUUACUCCGUUGAACCUUCAGUUGAUUUCAAAGCACGGUGAUGCUUGUUCAGUCACCACUAUUAUUGAAUUAUUUCGAUCACUACGACACCUUGUGGUGUCGGUAUAAACUUGUAGCUUGGGCUAAUCAUGAUCGAGUGUUUCAUGCAAAACACAGGUGAUACUUGUUCGAUCACCGCUAUUAUUGAACUAUUUCAUUCACUACGACACCUAGUGGCGUCGGUAUAAACUUGUAGCUUGCGCUAAUCAUGAUCGAUCGUUUCAUGCAAAACUACGUACGCUCUUUGCUUGGCUAAUCAUUUAAAUAGUCUUAAUGCAACUAUGUAUUAAGACGAAGAUACACCAGGUUCGGUUGUAUUUCAUUUCAAUGUAUCCUUGCAACACGUUGAUUUUAUUCAGUUAAUGGUUCGAGAGUUGAUAAAUCAUUUUUAUGAUUCUACUUAUUUGAGUUUGUUGAAUUCGAGUUUCAUUUAUACAACAACCAACGUAAGAUUCUGUUGGUAGUAAAUUCUAUUGUUUCAAAAAUUGAUUUACAGUUUGUGAACGUUCAUUUGGAAUUCCAUGGGUUGAAUUUCCUCUUUUGUUGAACCUAGUAAACCUAGUCACAUUGGUGAUAGUAUCACAACAUCUCGUUCACUUGACAUCGAUUUCUAGAACAAACUCAGUUAAACCGUUGGGUUCCUAUUGAUGCAAAAUUUUCUUGCAAUCACGUAAUCCGAACAAGUUUUGGUUCGAUUACACGGUCAUUCACUUUGGUAUUAUUCGGACUUACCUAGGAACGUCAUAACUCUGAGUAGAUAACAUAGUCUAAAUUUCGAGGACGAAAUUUCUGCAACAGGGGGAGAAUGUGACAACUGACAAAUUUUCAGGUUAAUUCGUACACUUAACAAAUCAUGUUUUAUCGCGUAAACGUGCAUUAGACUUAAUUUCAAUUAAUUAGGUUGCCAUAUGUCCGGCAAAUUCGCAUUUUUUUAACGAGAUAUGCAUUGGUGAUUAUUAGAAAUUACCAGUACGUACAUACACGAGUUAAUUCGACAAUGAAAAAUAUAAAAAUCUGUGUUAUGAAAGUCAUAAUAUCAAGAUACGAUAUAUAAAGUACUUUUGCACAUAAGAUUUUUAACGUGCAUUUAAUACUUAAUGACUUUAUACAAUUUUUAGUGUCUACAUAUCUGUUUUUUUUUUUUUGGGUUUCGAGAUGACGAACAAGCACACGUAGGAAAUUCCCUAUGUAUAUGUAUACAUAUAUAUAUAUGCGUGUGUAUAUAUAUUAUAAUAUAUAUUGCGGUUGAUUUUAUUAAGUUAAAAUUCUAAAGUUUAGUUUUUAUUGAAGCUAUUUUAAGGUUCAUGAAUUUAAAUUAGCUUUGAUUUUGUAUAUAUAUCUUACAUUAAUCACCUAUCUUUUUGUAUGAUUUGCAAGACCCAAACCCCCUGUAAUUUGUUUAAAAAUCGACCCAACAUUCUACAUAUCUAUUAUACACACCUACUAUAGAUUUCUAUCAAAGUAAGAUUGUUUCCCCAUCUAGAGACAUUAUGACAUAGCUAAAAAAAAACUACCAUUGACUUUUUGGACAAAGAAAAACGUACAAGCAACCUCAAAACCAUUUUGUUUACUUCACAACUAUCAUGAAUGCCUUGAAUUUUAAAAUUAGAAAUGCCAUGCCUUGAAUCUUGUCAAGUGACGAUUCUCACUGUUUCGUUCACCUACUGCUGUUGAUUCCCAAAGAAAAUAAAGAGACCACAAGGUGGUAAAUAUGAUGACAAUCUAUGUAGCAAAACAGAAAAAAAGGUUCUGAUGCCUUUAAAUUAUCAAAACAUCUGCAUCUUAUACACACACAACCUUACCUACAAAAAAAAAUCAAAACCCUUGCAUCUACUCUCUUUCUCUCUCGAUCUAUAUACCACCAACACCUUUUAUCUCCUUCACUCCCUAUCUCGGUUAUAAUAAGCAAACACAAAGAAGCCACCUUCUCAAAAAUGAACUCUAGCUGCUCACAUGGCCAGCAAUCAGGCCCCUGACUAGCGCCGGUUAACCGGCGAGACACCCCCUCACGCCCUUGUUCCUCAUCGAUCUAACAGCCAGCGACAAGAAUCAGAGAAAAUCAGAACAGAUGAGAGAGAUGGCUGGAGCGAGAGAGAGAGAAACAGCGGUGGUGCUUUAUUUUUCGACAAGGUUAUACGUGUCGGAUCCGUUUCGGGUUACUCACAGUCAAAAUGUUCGGGUCGGAUGUGGGCUCGGGAGUCACGGGUCCGCUUGGGGUGUUUUUGAGUCUUGGUUCGGCUUGAGAUUUGGUUCGAGUCACGUUUUGAAUCGGGUCAAGAUUUGGUGCAGUCAACUUCGGUCAUGGUCCAACAUCUCGGGUCAGACUCAAGUCUCGGUUCUGGUUAACUUGGCCAGAAGAUGGGUUCUCGUUCAAGAUGUUGAUUAGGUUCGAGCUUUGAUUUGAUUCAAGUGCUACUAGAAGUCAACCAAGUUUUAGUUUUUGGGAAGAUUUUGUUUUCAGCUGCGUUUCGGGUCAAAUCCGGUUGACUCGGUCAACACCCGAGUCAACUCAGGUCAACGACAGUCAACUCAAAGACUGGUUACUUUUCAAAGAUAUGGCAUGGUUGGAAUAGGAGAACCCAUGGGAAUUCGAGUACUUAGCGGUGUUCAUUUUUCUAGAAGUCUUAGCUUAUUUGCUUCCGCUGUGCAAUGAAGAUACCGGUCCAGUCACGCCAUGCUCUGAUAUUUCGGGGUGUGACAUUUGGUACCUAAACGUCACGGUUUCGGUCAAAAACGCUUAAAAUGGAAGUGUUUUGGGGUAUAAAAACAUGUAUAAUUUAAUGUAUAUCAUUUGCACUAUGGAGCACAGCCUCCACCCCAUUAGGAAACCCAACACCGAAUUGAAAAUCACCAAGGUAAUUGGUCAUCUCUUUCCCUACCUUCCACAAAGCCACCUUAGAAACAAGUCUCCAACAAAUAUUGCCUUGGUCUAUAGGCCUAACUCAAUUGUCUCGUGUGAGUUCGGGAUCGGGCGGGUUUAGACGGAAGUUUGUGUAACAACCCGGGUUUUGAAGUCAAAGUACAAGUCAAAGUCAAAGUCAAAGGAAGAAAAGAUUGCUAAAUGCCAUCUGUCACUCCUUGCUUAAUUAUUGAUUAUACUCUUUGACUUGUUAAUCGAUUACUUUAAUUUAUGUACUUUAGUUGUACUAUGUGGAGUAAAUGCUAAUAAUCGCAGUUUAAUCGCUAAUCUAUUCAUCGCUAA